rnacentral:rRNA from 1 species
AACGGGAGUUUUUAACUCUAGUGGCGGACGGGUGAGUAACACGUGAGAAUCUACCCUUAGGAGGGGGACAACAGUUGGAAACGACUGCUAAUACCCCAUAUACUUUCGAGUGAAAUAGUUUUUCUGCCUAAGGAAGAGCUCGCGGCUGAUUAGCUAGUUGGUAGGGUAAAGGCCUACCAAGGCGACGAUCAGUAGCUGGUCUGAGAGGACGAUCAGCCACACUGGAACUGAGACACGGUCCAGACUCC